UGGAGAGUUUGAUCCUGGCUCAGGACGAACGCUGGCGGCGUGCUUAACACAUGCAAGUCGAGCGGUAAGGCCUUUCGGGGUACACGAGCGGCGAACGGGUGAGUAACACGUGGGUGAUCUGCCCUGCACUUCGGGAUAAGCCUGGGAAACUGGGUCUAAUACCGGAUAUGACCUCAGGUUGCAUGACUUGGGGUGGAAAGAUUUAUCGGUGCAGGAUGGGCCCGCGGCCUAUCAGCUUGUUGGUGGGGUAAUGGCCUACCAAGGCGACGACGGGUAGCCGACCUGAGAGGGUGACCGGCCACACUGGGACUGAGACACGGCCCAGACUCCUACGGGAGGCAGCAGUGGGGAAUAUUGCACAAUGGGCGAAAGCCUGAUGCAGCGACGCCGCGUGAGGGAUGACGGCCUUCGGGUUGUAAACCUCUUUCAGCAGGGACGAAGCGCAAGUGACGGUACCUGCAGAAGAAGCACCGGCUAACUACGUGCCAGCAGCCGCGGUA
rnacentral:rRNA from 1 species